rnacentral:antisense_RNA from 1 species
GACAGCGCUGGGGAGAAUGAACAACUGAGUACUCAUGUCUUUAUGCACUGUAGUAUUAUUUCCUUGCAACAGACUCCUGAACAUGGAACGGCAGGGUCAAAGGAUUCACAAAAUGUUGGACUUCUGAAGCAAAUCAGGUGGCACCUUUUUUUGAAUAAUGAAGAGUCUUUACCCCUGGCAUGAGGAGCUGAGGACAACUCCCACUCCACGAUGUGAAGCCACAGGGUUUCAAGGCCCCAGGACCUCCAGCAUCAGUGUUGUGGGAUGAUGGGUGACAGAGCCAGAGCAUUGCCAUCUUGGACAAGCGCCAUCAUUCUGAAGUUCCCCUUGAUCAAAAACUGCCUAAACCCAAAGGAUAUCAGCCUGAUGGCUAAGAUGCCUCCUGAUUGACCUAGUACACUGGGUUAAAAGGGAAUUAAAAACAUUA